rnacentral:rRNA from 1 species
UACGGAGGGUGCAAGCGUUGUCCGGAAUCAUUGGGCGUAAAGAGUUCGUAGGUGGUAUGUUAAGUCUGGUGUCAAAUCCCGAAGCUCAACUUCGGUUCGGCACUGGAUACUGGCAAACUGGAAUGCGGUAGAGGUAAAGGGAAUUCCUGGUGUAGCGGUGAAAUGCGUAGAUAUCAGGAGGAACAUCGGUGGCGAAAGCGCUUUACUGGGCCGUGAUUGACACUGAGGAACGAAAGCCAGGGUAGCAAAU